rnacentral:rRNA from 1 species
GACGAACGCUGGCGGCGUGCUUAACACAUGCAAGUCGAACGAUGAUGCUUCCAGCUUGCUGGGGGUUGAUUAGUGGCGAACGGGUGAGUAACACGUGAGUAACCUGCCCUUCACUUUGGGAUAAGCCUUGGAAACGGGGUCUAAUACCGGGUAUGACAUACCGUCGCAUGGUGGUGUGUGGAAAGCUUUUGUGGUGGGGGAUGGACUCGCGGCCUAUCAGCUUGAUGGUGAGGUAGUGGCUUACCAUGGCUUUGACGGGUAGCCGGCCUGAGAGGGUGACCGGCCACACUGGGACUGAGACACGGCCCAGACUCCUACGGGAGGCAGCAGUGGGGAAUAUUGCACAAUGGGCGGAAGCCUGAUGCAGCGACGCCGCGUGGGGGAUGACGGCCUUCGGGUUGUAAACUCCUUUCAGUAGGGACGAAGCCUUUCGGGGUGACGGUACCUGCAGAAGAAGCACCGGCUAACUACGUGCCAGCCGCC